UGGGGUAUCGCCAAGCGGUAAGGCACCGGUUUUUGAUACCGGCAUCCCUGGUUCGAAUCCAGGUACCCCAGCCA
rnacentral:tRNA from 1 species